CUUCUCAACACGGACAUCAAACUACUAGCAAACAUUUUCUCCAAUAGACUAACUAAUAUCAUUUCAACUCUAAUACAUGAGGACCAGGUGGGAUUCGUCAGUGGUAGACAGGGAGCAGACGGGACCCGAAAGGUUUUAGACCUGCUGCAGGGAGGACAGGGCGGGGGGAGGGCCCAGUGUGUCAUGUUAUCAAUUGAUGCUGAAAAGCACUGGCCCUUCCUUCAAGCGGUCCUGCUCAAAUACGGCUUCCCGGGCACCUUCCUAAGGUUCGUGGGAGCACUGUAUUCCAAGCCAACAGUGAAAGUCACGAAUGGGGGAUUUAGCUCCAAGCAAUUCAACAUAACCAACGGAUCAAGACAGG